AUUGCCCCAGUAGCGGCGAGUGAAGCGGCAAGAGCCCACGUUUGAAAUCCCUCGGGAGUUGUAGCGGUUGCGGAUGCGGAGUCCAAGUCCCCUGGAACGGGGCGCGGUACAGGGUGAGAGCCCCGUGGACGAGCGUGCGCGACAGGAUGAGUCGAGUUGUUUGGGAAUGCAGCUCCAAGGGGUGGUAUGCUCCAUCCAAGGCUAAAUAGUGGCGAGAGACCGAUAGCGAACAAGUACUGUGAAGGAAAGAUGAAAAGCACUUUGAAAAGAGAGUGAAAAAGCGUGUGAAAUUGUUGAAAGGGAAGGGUGGG
rnacentral:rRNA from 1 species